AGUGAACGCUGGCGGUAGGCCUAACACAUGCAAGUCGAACGGCAGCACAGGAGAGCUUGCCCUCUGGGUGGCGAGUGGCGGACGGGUGAGGAAUACAUCGGAAUCUACUUUUUCGUGGGGGAUAACGUAGGGAAACUUACGCUAAUACCGCAUACGACCUACGGGUGAAAGCAGGGGACCUUCGGGCCUUGCGCGAUUGAAUGAGCCGAUGUCGGAUUAGCUAGUUGGCGGGGUAAAGGCCCACCAAGGCGACGAUCCGUAGCUGGUCUGGGAGGAUGAUCAGCCACACUGGAACUGGGAAACGGUCCAGACUCCUACGGGAGGCAGCAGUGGGGAAUAUUGGACAAUGGGCGCAAGCCUGAUCCAGCCAUACCGCGUGGGUGAAGAAGGCCUUCGGGUUGUAAAGCCCUUUUGUUGGGAAAGAAAUCCAGCUGGCUAAUACCCGGUUGGGAUGACGGUACCCAAAGAAUAAGCACCGGCUAACUUCGUGCCAGCCGCCGCGGUAA
rnacentral:rRNA from 1 species